CCGCGUUCUAUCCCCGCCCCCUUCGAGCCACGGCGUCCAAUCCCCUACAUCCGUUCGAUCCCCAGUCCUCCGUCUCCUUUUACCCGGCCAGAUUCUCCACCAUUUGGCCGCUCGCAUUCUACGCAGCUGUUCGGAACCCGGGUUCCUGGGCUCCUCACUCAGCUCAUUGUCUCUUAGUCUCCUGUCUCUUCGAGGAACAAGGCUCAGCUGGGAGGUCGCAGCCCACCCCAGGUGCAUUAUAACGUCAGGCGCGUAGGGUGCCGGAGCAAAUCUCAGCCCUUUCACGCCAGGGAGGGAGGAGGGAUGUUUGGGGGUCAGGACGGCCCGCCAAAACCACCCACGGAAGGUGCAUGGAUUGAGUUGGCAAGAAAGGCGCCACAGCGGGUUGGAUUCAAGGUAGACAGUGGGACUUCCGUGAGGGAGAAGCAGCAUGGCUAAUAGAGAAAGGUAUAUUAGAGACCCAGCCUCGACUGAGAGGUCGAAAUAGGUACAGAGAAGCAGAGACUGAAACACGGAACUCUUGUUUAUUCGGCUCUGGGCGUCAGUGUUCUUCGCCCAGCCUGGUCCCGUGUGCUUCUAGGUCCAACCUAGUCGCAGCCCGGGGAGGGACUGGGGAAGACGGUUUCAGGGGCUGGAGUUAGGGGAGAAGAAAUGUGGAG
rnacentral:lncRNA from 1 species